UGGCAUGGGCUUCCCUUCUUCGGGUGGUGUCCCUUUAUGAGAGUGAGUAAUGAGGAUAAUUAAUGUCAGAGUAUUUAAAUGUCUGGGCAGGAAGCAUUAGAACAUAGCCUCUGUCGUACCCACCCCUCUUCCGGUCUUCAGUGUCACAGUAGUUGAAGUAGGUGAUGGUUGAUUACGCGUGUAUUAUGUGUUUUAGUCUAUUAUAGUAAUGCUCGUUCUUGUUUUUAUAUCGGCAAGAUGUUGUUGCAGCCAUGCCUGUUAAGUCCUCGGUGAGCUGCGUCAAGCGCUCGUUGGAAGUUUUAGUGAAACAAUAUUUAUGAAGACAUCCUAACAUCCUAUGCUUGUGUAGCAGCGGAUCGGAUCUUCCGCAGUCCAGUUGAUGACCAACUGCGGGUCGUGCUGCUGUUUUUCAUAGUUUGGUUUCUUGUGGUGUGAAAAUAGUGUUUGUGCUUUCAAUUUGUUGUUUUUGUGUUUGUUUUGAGUGUGAUGGUCCGAGUUGAGCUGUUUAGGCCGAAUUGGUAGCGUAUCCUCCAAUUAAAACCUAAUUAUAAGUGGUUCUGGUUUAUUGCC